rnacentral:rRNA from 1 species
UACAGAGGUCUCAAGCGUUGUUCGGAUUCAUUGGGCGUAAAGGGUGCGUAGGCGGCGCGGUAAGUCGGGUGUGAAAUUUCGGAGCUUAACUCCGAAACUGCAUUCGAUACUGCCGUGCUUGAGGACUGGAGAGGAGACUGGAAUUUACGGUGUAGCAGUGAAAUGCGUAGAGAUCGUAAGGAAGACCAGUGGCGAAGGCGGGUCUCUGGACAGUUCCUGACACUGAGGCACGAAGGCCCAGGGGAGCAAACGGGG